CCCCCCCCAUAUUCUACCACAUGCCUACACAUUAGGCAUAAUUUCCAGUGGUCAAUUGCCCUGGAAGGGAACAGAAGCACCUGGGAGAAGCCACAGGGAGAGCAUACAAAGUCGGAACAGACAUCGGCAGACGUCGAGAAUGAACCCAGGUGAAAGGCACCAGUUCACCCAGCAACACACUCCAAAGAGUCGGAGAGAAAAGUUUCUCUAAAUUUGUCUGCUGAAUACCUAGCUUUCUCAAGCUUUAUUUCACCUUGACGUCCAACAAUUUCAGAUAACUCACCUUUCCUGUUUGUGUUAAAAGUGGCGAUGCAGGUGUGAGGCAUUUCACGUCUAACAUUCACUCAGGUUGUCGCUCCGUAGAGGUGUUGCCUGAGCUGCUAUUGCCAGCAUCAUAGUUUGUUUUGGAUUUCAAGUUCAAAGUACGUACAAUCUUAAGCUUCUCCUUACGGGCAGCCACGAAACAAAGAAACCCAAUGGAACCCAUGGGGAAUAAAAGGAAAACCAUCAAACAACCAACGUGCAGAAGCAGAAACAAAUCACGCGAACAAUAAAAGUAAGCAAAUAACACUCAGAGCUGAAGGUCACAAAAGGGAGCACAGUCAUUGCUGCAGCAAAUACAGGCCACAGCCUCAGCUCAGUGCAGAGACGAGUAAACUUCACAGAGCAGUGAGCUGAACACUAACCCGUUCCCCUCCUCUGGCCCUGACCCCCUGACCUUUCCAAUCUGGCCUGGUGCUGAAAUUGGCCGAAUAGCCUCGUUCUCAUACUGGGGCCCUGUUGCUUCGAUACACUCUUGGGCCUGGGACCCACCAGCUCCAUUCGGCCCGGACGUUCUAUGGCACAACCAUCUUGUAUCUUCAAAACUUCAGUUUGUACCAUAAAACUGCCGGGCUAUACAGGUGGUUCCAAGGCUCAACUGUGAGAGGGAAAUGACGGGCUAUUGAUUGCUGUAAUCAUUUACCAGAAAUAUGGCGAUUAAUGAAGAAAUUAAUAGUU